GAUGAACGCUGGCGGCAUGCCUAACACAUGCAAGUCGAUCGGUAAGGCUCUUCGGAGUACACGAGAGGCGGACGGCUGAGUAACGCGUAGGAACACACCCUGCAGUGAGGGAUAAGACACCGAAAGGUGUUCUAAUACCGCAUACGGUCUUCGGAUUAAAGCAUUUAUGCGCUGAAGGAGUGGCCUGCGUCAUAUUAGAUAGUUGGUGAGGUAAUGGCUCACCAAGUCGAUGAUGUGUAGCUGGUCUGAGAGGAUGAUCAGCCAGACUGGAACUGAGACACGGUCCAGACUCCUACGGGAGGCAGCAGUGAGGAAUAUUUCACAAUGAGCGAAAGCUUGAUGGAGCAAUGCUGCGUGCAGGAUGAAGGCCCUCGGGUUGUAAACUGCUUUUAUAAGAGAAGAUUAUGACGGUAACUUAUGAAUAAGGGACGGCUAACUACGUG
rnacentral:rRNA from 1 species